UACGGGGGAGCAAGCGUUGUUCGGAUUUACUGGGCGUAAAGGGCGCGUAGGCGGCCAGCACAAGUCAGUUGUGAAAUCUCCGAGCUUAACUCGGAAAGGUCAACUGAUACUGUGCGGCUAGAGUGCGGAAGGGGCAACUGGAAUUCUCGGUGUAGCGGUGAAAUGCGUAGAUAUCGAGAGGAACACCUGCGGCGAAGGCGGGUUGCUGGGCCGAACACGUG
rnacentral:rRNA from 1 species